rnacentral:rRNA from 1 species
CUACACGACUCUCGGCAACGGAUAUCUCGGCUCUCGCAUCGAUGAAGAACGUAGCGAAAUGCGAUACCUGGUGUGAAUUGCAGAAUCCCGCGAACCAUCGAGUCUUUGAACGCAAGUUGCGCCCGAGGCCAUUCGGCCGAGGGCACGCCUGCCUGGGCGUCACG